rnacentral:lncRNA from 1 species
UCAUAAUGAAGUGUUAAUAGUGUACAUUUCCCUUGCGUAGUCCAACUUUCUUCCUACUGUGACCUUUUGUUAGACACAAAAACGUUUGAUAUUCUAUCUCUCCCUGAAAACGACAGAGUUCCGGUUCCAGCCAUGCUUUUUUUACUAGUUCCGGCCGGAACCGGAACUCUAAAAAAUCGGGGUUCCGGCCGUAACUAACCGGCCGGAACCGAGUUCCGGUGCACCCCUAAUUGUAACCCCCUAGUAAGAUGGCAGCUGUCACUGUUUUUCAUGAAUUGUUGAUAAAAUCACAAUGUACAUGUAAAAUUAUGUAUGGAGUUAAUGAACUGUAAGUAACUAAAUGUAUGUUUGUUUCUUUUUCAGCCUGGUCAAAAACUUGUAAUUACACCCCGAUGCAGUAAAAACGUUUACUUGUAUGAUAAAAAACACUAGUUUUUAUUACUGGACAAUAUAAAUACGUGUAUCCAAUGAUUUGUUACGUUAUAGAAUUCUGCAUGUGUAAUGAUGUUUCAGUUAGAGAAAUUAGAAGUUAAAUAAUAUGUUUGGUAAAAAAUGUUUAUUUUGUGUGUUUUUGCAUCUGUACAAGUACUGUC